AACUCAUCAGGGCAAGAAGAUUUUAGGAUUGACAGAUUGAGAGUUCUUUCUUGAUUGGUCUAGUGGUGGUGCAUGGCCGUUCUUAGUUGGUGGAGUGAUUUGUCUGGUUAAUUCCGUUAACGAACGAGACCUUAACCUGCUAACUAGUACCCUGAUCCUCAAUCGGGGUUACUUCUUAGAGGGACUAUGUGAUGUAAUCACAUGGAAGUUUGAGGCAAUAACAGGUCUGUGAUGCCCUUAGAUGUCCUGAGCUGCACGCGCGCUACAAUGACACAUUCAACGAGUAUUUCCUGACCCGAAAGGGCUCGGGUAAUCUUUUUAGUGUGUGUCGUGAUAGGGAUAGAUCUUUGUAAUUAUGGAUCUUGAACGAGGAAUUCCUAGUAAGCGCACGUCAUCAGCGUGUGCUGAUUACGUCCCUG
rnacentral:rRNA from 1 species